CCUACGGGUGGCAGCAGUGGGGAAUCUUGCGCAAUGGGGGAAACCCUGACGCAGCGACGCCGCGUGCGGGAUGAAGGCCUUCGGGUUGUAAACCGCUUUCAGCAGGGACGAGGCCGCAAGGUGACGGUACCUGCAGAAGAAGCUCCGGCUAAAUACGUGCCAGCAGCCGCGGUAAUACGUAGGGAGCAAGCGUUAUCCGGAUUCAUUGGGCGUAAAGCGCUCGUAGGCGGUCUGUUAGGUCGGUAAGUUAAAUCCGGGGGCUCAACCCCCGUCCGCUUCCGAUACCGGCAGACUUGAGUUUGGUAGGGGAAGGUGGAAUUCCUAGUGUAGCGGUGGAAUGCGCAGAUAUUAGGAAGAACACCGGUGGCGAAGGCGGCCUUCUGGGCCAUAACUGACGCUGAGGAGCGAAAGCUAGGGGAGCGAACAGGAUUAGAUACCCCUGUAGUC
rnacentral:rRNA from 1 species